CGUACGACCACUGAAGUUAAGCAAUGUCGAGUCUGGUCAGUACCUAGAUGGGUGACCACUUGUGAAUACCAGGUGCUGUAAG